rnacentral:lncRNA from 1 species
CGCACCCAGACCAGUAAUAUAAUAUAGCUUUGGGCCUGGUCAAUCCAAAGAGUCACAGACUUCAUGCAGACCUGAGACUUGAUCCUUGAUAGCCUGUGUUGUCUCCUCUUGCCCCUCAGUCCCCACUCUCUCUCUUGCAGACCCCAUUGACUGACCCGCAGACCGAGUCACCUGGCACCCAACAUGGGGCAGAGAGAACGAGAGACCCCAUGAGGGACAUUACUGGAAGAAGGAUCGACCAAGCAGGAACCUGCCUCAUUGAGACCAAUGAAUCAUAGUAACGAAAAUG